AAAUAAGAAGUGAUAAAUUACAAUUAGUUUCGACCUAAUAUUAGAUACUUGUAUCCUUAUUUA
rnacentral:tRNA from 1 species